AUGAAAUUGCUCUUGUAGUGGC
rnacentral:siRNA from 1 species